GAUGAACGCUGGCGGCGUGCCUAAUACAUGCAAGUCGAGCGAACAGACGAGGAGCUUGCUCCUCUGACGUUAGCGGCGGACGGGUGAGUAACACGUGGAUAACCUACCUAUAAGACUGGGAUAACUUCGGGAAACCGGAGCUAAUACCGGAUAAUCUAUUGAACCGCAUGGUUCAAUAGUGAAAGACGGUUUUGCUGUCACUUAUAGAUGGAUCCGCGCCGCAUUAGCUAGUUGGUAAGGUAACGGCUUACCAAGGCAACGAUGCGUAGCCGACCUGAGAGGGGGGUCGGCCACCCUGGAGCUUAGACGCGGUCCAGACUCCUACGGGAGGCAGCAGAAGGGAAUCUUCCGCAAUGGGCGAAAGCCUGACGGAGCAACGCCGCGUGAGUUAUGAAGGUCUUCGGAUCGUAAAACUCUGUUAUUAGGGAAGAACAAAUGUGUAAGUAACCGUGCACGUCUUGACGGUACCUAAUCAGAAAGCCACGGCUAACUACGUG
rnacentral:rRNA from 1 species